UGUGCUUAUUAGCCGGUAGCAGGAAGUGGCCAGUAUACAAAACUUGAGAGGAAACAGAUUGUAUUUCUGCUCCAAAGCCAACUACCAGCGCCGGAUUUUGUUGUCAUUAAGCUGUGUGUGACUGUAGAAGAGUUGGCCAGGCUUCUCUUUUUGAUGGCGAGCUAAGGAAAAGAAGCAUCUAGUCCAAGGAUGGUUCUUGGAAGAUUCCAGCCAGGGACCCCACCACCCGUUCUGCAGGGCCGAUACGGGACUGACGGAGAAGCCUGAUGGUGAGAAUCCCUCAGCAGUGUUGCCCAAGGGUCUGACACCCAGGUACCGACCGCUCUGUCUUCUUGUCGUGGUCGUGACGAAAAGGAAAUGUGCGUAUCCGUCAACAAAGGAGAGGUUUGAACCCUGAAGCCGGAGAGAAGGAAGCGAGGGUUGUGACAUUGAGGUGUAAUGGACACUGACGGCCCGGUUGUGCUUGGCUGCAAAGAGCACAUUUGACGGCGACUCAUUAAUUACCAGGAGCAAGGCAGCCAUCUGAAGCCUUCAUGUUGGCUGCCCAUCACCUGCUGCCGCUUACAAAUCAGCUCCUGGAAUGCAGAGAAUGGCAGCCACUGUCAGACUGUCAGCACCGCUUUGUCCUGGCGGGGAAGAACAGGCCAGAUUAGCCCAGCUACUGUUGGUCCGGGCCAGAACAGGACUUGUUACGACCCAGUGAUGAGCGGGGAAAGGUCAAACAAAAAAGUACAAAUACAAGAUUUCAGGAUCUGUUUCUUGACAAACCACGCAAUGUAGGCUUGUACGGUUUACUGGUACUAAAAGUACAAAUCUAGUGAAGUUGUGUAAAUGGUAAAUAAAACACAUUACAACAAAUUAUUUUCAACUUAUAUUCAAUUGAAUAGACUGCAAAGACAAAAUAUUUCAUGUUCACACUGAGAAACUUUGUUAUUUUUUGCAAAUAUUAGCUCAUUUGGAAGUUGAUGCAAAAAAAGCUGGCACAAGUGGCAAAAAAGAGUGAGAAAGUUGAGGAUAGCUCAUCAAACACUUA